rnacentral:ncRNA from 1 species
AAAAAGUUUUAUUUUAGCUUAAAAAUUAGGUGUUAUUUUUUAUUAUAUGUAAAUUUUAUUAAAGAAUAAAUAAGCAGUAUUUAAUAUUAAAAAUUUAAGAAAUUAAGAAUUAGAAAUAAUAUGUAGUAUAAACUAAAUUUGUGCCAGCAGUUGCGGUUAUACAAAUUAUAUAAGUUAAUUUUAUUAAUUUUAAUUAAUUGAAUUUUAAAUUUUAUAAUUAAAUUUAUUUGGUGAAAUUGUAAAUUUAUAUAAGAAUUUAUAUUUGUAAAUAAUGUUAAUAAAUUUUUGUAAUAAACUAGGAUUAGAUACCCUAUUAUUAAAAGUGUAAUUUUUAUAUUAAAUUAUUAUUAGUUAUGGUCUUUAAAAUUAAAAAUUUUGGCGGUAUUUUAAUCUAUUCAGAGGAACCUGUUUUAUAAAUGAUAAUCCACGAUUUAAUUUACUUUUAUUAUUAAUUUAUAUAUCGUCGUUAUUUAAAUAUCUUUUUAAAGUUAAAAUAUUUAAAAUUUUUUUAAUAAAAUAUUUCAGAUCAAGGUAUAGUUUAUAUAAAAGAAUAAAUGGGUUACAAUAAAUUUAUUUUUAGGAUUAAUAAUUUUAAAUUAUUAUUAAUUUGGAUUUGAUAGUAAUUUUAAUUAAUUUAUUAAAAUGAUUUUAGUACUAAAAUAUGUACAUAUUGCCCGUCACUUUCAUUUAAUAUGAAAUAAGUCGUAACAGAGUAGAUUUACUGGAAAGUGAAUCUAGAAAACA